AGGCCUCCAAUUAGAUCGCGCUUUGAGUGAUGUCAUGUGAGCUUCCGCUAUUGCGGGACUUUGGAAAGUAGUGCGUACUAGAUUUAGUUUUUUUUCCCUCCGUGAAUCUGAUGAGAGCAGAUGGUUGUUGCUGCUCCGGGAGAUUUUAAGCUCUAAAUCCAGCGAAAACUCAUGAUUCAGAGAGAAGCCGUGUAUGUGAGAUUGAUGGUUUGGAACAUUGUCAUCUGAAUUUUCCUGUUCUUCAGAUGCACAUUGUGUGCGAGUUCCUUGGCCAGGUUUUUUUGAUGUGUUUUAUUUCCAUGUGAAUGCUGGAACGUUCGUCUGAGUGCGAUCCAUCUGCUGGUAUUCAAGUGAACUGCGAGUCAAUCCUGGAUUGUGAACCGUCUCAACUCCUCUUUGGAUGUCUUACAGUGGAGUUGGACUGGCGAGCCACCCAAGAACGAAAUCUUGUUUUCCUGUGAAAAGAGAAACCGAAACUGAAUUGUUCACCUUUGAAUGGUAGGACAGAACUGUGCAUUUUCUAAUUGGUUCAUCAGGAAGAUGAUUCCAGAACUGAACUGAACAGUUCACGGACUGUUUGAACUGAAUUAAUGGACUGAUUGGGUUCAUUGCAGAGAAAUUUGAUUUGGGAUCAUUGUGAAGUGAGAAUAAUUGUGUGUUUAUGUUAUUUUAUUUCAUUUGAAUCUGGGUAAAAUCCUA